GACGUGUGGCUGUCGUAAAAACCCUAUUUGUAAACAACCAGUCCUUUAACUCGGGGCUGCGUCAUAAACACGGAGCGCUUGGAAGACCACGAUGUCAUCUUCCUUCUGUCAGGAGGAUCCAAGUGAAGCUACAGGAGUUUCAUUAACGUCAACAACUUGGACCGAACAGUUUGUUUUGCUUGAUGAAGAGUAGGAAGGGCAGCCUGGAGAGAAAGAGAAGCCGGGUUGAGCCCACUACCAUCAUCCACGUACCACGAGGAAGAUGAGGGAGAGAAGUGAUCCUACCAUUAAAGAGACUGUGAAAAGAACGUUGAGAACAUCACCACUCUACAGGAAGACACAGUCCAGUAAUGGGUGUCAGAAUUUCAGUAGUGAACGACAGGUACUGUGGAAAAAUGUGUGUCAUUGUUGUACAAUGUCCUUUGACUCUGUUUACACAAGGUUAACACAAAAAGGUUUGAUUGUAAACUGA